rnacentral:tRNA from 1 species
GCGCCCGUAGCUCAAUUGGAUAGAGCACUUGACUACGGAUCAAGAGGUUAGGGGUUCGAGUCCUCUCGGGCGCGCCA